AUGGCACAGCUUCGAUCCAGACCAAAGGAGCCACUGGCCAUGGACUUCAGAGUCAAAGGCUCCAAGAGGGAGCUUCACCUGAGGAUCAGUCCCUGGCUUGCCAUGGCGGCUUUACACAACACCAAAGCACAACUGGAGGCUUUAGAUGCAGGGACUAAGGGUUUGCAGGCGUGGGUUUUGAACCAAAUUGGGGCAGCCACUGACGCUCUACCAGAUUCUGAGGUGGCUUGCCUUGCUUCUGUCUCUUGGUUCCAUAGAACUGGCGGGAUGCCAGGCCACUGGCCCGAAGCUCCUUAG
rnacentral:lncRNA from 1 species